AAGCUCGUAGUUGAAUUUCGGGAUUGACAUGUUGGUCGUGCCUUAAGGGGUAUGAACUGACAUUGUCGAUUUCUCACCUUCUGGAGAAUCACGAUGCUCUUAAUUGGGUGUCGUGUGGAUCCAGGACCUUUACCUUGAAAAAAUUAGAGUGUUUAAAGCAGGCAUUUUUGCUCGAAUACAUUAGCAUGGAAUAAUAAAAUAGGACGGCUUGGUUCUAUUUUGUUGGUUUCUAGGAUCACCGUAAUGAUUAAUAGGGAUAGUUGGGGGCAUUAGUAUUCAAUUGUCAGAGGUGAAAUUCUUGGAUUUAUUGAAGACUAACUACUGCGAAAGCAUUUGCCAAGGAUGUUUUCAUUAAUCAAGAACGAAAGUUAGGGGGUCGAAGACGAUCAGAUACCGUCGUAGUCUUAACCAUAAACUAUGCCGACUAGGGAUCGGAUGAUGUUAAUUUUUUAAUGACUCGUUUGGCACCUUACGGGAAACCAAAGUGUUUGGGUUCCGGGGGGAGUAUGGUCGCAAGGCUGAAACUUAAAGGAAUUGACGGAAGGGCACCACCAGGGGUGGAGCCUGCGGCUUAAUUUGACCCAACACGGGGAAACUUACCAGGUCCAGACAUAGUAAGGAUUGACAGAUUGAGAGCUCUUUCUUGAUUCUAUGGGUG
rnacentral:rRNA from 1 species